UUUAAACACUGGUUCCCGUGCGAUCAGCAAAGUUAAGCAAUGAUGAGCCUGAUCAGUACAUAGAUGGGUGACCGAUUGUGAUUACCAGGUGCCGUA